CCGCCCGCGCCCGGCCCGGGGCGACCGCGCUCAGCCUCGCUUUCCAGGAGCUCCGUUAGAAGCAGGGGGGGGAUUAAAACAUAAGAGCAGGACCUUAGAGAGGAACACAUGGAGGUUGAAAGACAUUUCUAGUUUAAAACUCGAAAUUCGCAUCUCAAAGGAUGAGGCAAGAAAGAUUAGACACAGCAGGAGAGAAAGACAUUGACCUGGAGGAGCGAUCAGGAGCAAUUAGGCAGAGAAACAGGUGAAGGAAUGAAUAUGAGGCCUUGACAGCACAGGGAGGCCAGUAAGAGCUCAAAAGGGAGCUAAGGAGCCAGGGCUAAAGGGGGCCCCGUGGUGGCUCAGUGGGCUGAGCACAGCGCCUGGAAGCUGCCUGCAGUCUCCGGAGCCCGGGUUCGAUUCCCCGCCAAGGCCGCACCGCAGACCGGCCGCUGGACGCUUUGUCCCGCUCUGACAGACGGCCGCGGCGAGAUGGGCGCUCUGACAGACGGCCGCGGCGAGAUGGGCCCGCAGGGCCGAGGCUGAAGCACAGCGCCGCCAAAGGAUCCCCCAGAUGCCCAGCUGGCCAGGGAGCCACAACAGCCCCCGCUCACCCACCGGCCCCCUCGGUCCAUCUGCCCACUCGGCUCUACGCUCCACCCCCAGCGAAUCCCCCCACAAGCCUGCACCCCAGCUCCUGUAUACCUAAUUUUUUAAAAAAUGACAUUCUUGGAGAGUAUCCAACAUUGACUUAUAGACCAGGAACCUCACCUAAAAUGCAGAGCAGGGUAAAGAAAAAUAAAAUCAGCAUCUAAGCACACUAAGGAAUCUGCAAAACUCUAAAGAAGAAACGAGAUGAAAUGGGGUGUGCAGAGUGGUAAACAUGUCAGCAGAUGGAAACAAGCACUUAGUUGGAACGUGACUAGUGAUGAUUAAUCUGUGGACUACAAAACAAGGUGCAAUACAGUCAGGAACAAGGCAAGGACGCCCACUCUCCCCACUUGCAUCCAGCACAGGACUGCAAGACCUUCCCAGAGUAGUUCGGCAAGAGAGAGCGACCUCCAAACUGGACAGUGGGAAGUGAAACUCACUGCUUGCAGGCUAGCAGCAGGCAGCACAGCACUCUCGGCUGACCCUGGACAGUGGUACAAGCUCAGCUUCCAGUCAGCCAUGUGGUCACAGGGGUAAAUGGGUACAACCACCAACAGUCUAUGAUGUCCUGGGUUGUCAGCAUUUUUUGACUUACAUGUCUUCAACUUAUGAUGGGUUUAUCUGGCUGUAACCCCAUCAUAAGUGGAGGAAAAUCUGAAAAUAAACUGAGUAGAUUUGCAGGAUACAAAAAUCAAUAUAUAAAAAUCUGUUGCUUUUUUAUAUACUAUU